rnacentral:misc_RNA from 1 species
UAAUAAAAGUGUUUUAUGGCACUUUUCAAACAAAUCCAUAUCCACCUUGUGUGCAAUGUUUUUUUUUUAAAUAAACACUUUAUUUUUUAAUUGCCAUUUUAUCUGAAGAUCAGUAUUAUUUAUGAAUUAACUUAAUUCAAAAUA